GAUUUUGGUGUUUCCGUCCGUGAGUAUUACAUCAGGUACUGGUUGUAUGUGCAUGAUACCAGUACCAUUGUAACACUCUCAACGGUCAACAUUUCUGUCAA
rnacentral:pre_miRNA from 1 species